rnacentral:rRNA from 1 species
UACGUAGGGUGCAAGCGUUAAUCGGAAUUACUGGGCGUAAAGCGUGCGCAGGCGGUUCUAUAAGACAGAGGGGAAAUCCCCGGGCUCAACCUGGGAACUGCCUUUGUGACUGUAGAGCUAGAGUACGGUAGAGGGGGAUGGAAUUCCGCGUGUAGCAGUGAAAUGCGUAGAUAUGCGGAGGAACACCGAUGGCGAAGGCAAUCCCCUGGACCUGUACUGACGCUCAUGCACGAAAGCGUGGGGAGCAAACAGG